rnacentral:rRNA from 1 species
GAUCAUGGCUCAGGAUGAACGCUAGCUACAGGCUUAACACAUGCAAGUCGAGGGGGCAGCAUGAACUUAGCUUGCUAAGUUUUGAUGGCGACCGGCGCACGGGGUGAGUAACACGUAUCCAACCUUCCGUUUACUCAGGGAUAGCCUUUCGAAAGAAAGAUUAAUACCUGAUAGUAUGGUGAGAUUGCAUGAUAGCACCAUUAAAAGAUUUAUUGGUAAACGAUGGGGAUGCGUU